GAUGAACGCUGGCGGCGUGCCUAAUACAUGCAAGUCGAGCGAACGGACGAGAAGCUUUCUUCUCUGAUGUUAGCGGCGGGCGGGUGAGUAACACGUGGAUAACCUACCUAUAAGACUGGGAUAACUUCGGGAAAACGGAGCUACUACCGGAUAAUACUUUGAACCGCAUGGUUCAAAAGUGAAUGACGGCUUUGCCGUCACUUAUAGAUGGUUCCGCGCUGCAUUAGCUAGUUGGUAAGGUAACGGCUUACCAAGGCAACGAUGCGUAGCCGACCUGAGAGGGUGAUCGGCCACACUGGAACUGAGACACGGUCCAGACUCCUACGGGAGGCAGCAGUAGGGAAUCUUCCGCAAUGGGCGAAAGCCUGACGGAGCAACGCCGCGUGAGUGAUGAAGGUCUUCGGAUCGUAAAACUCUGUUAUUAGGGAAGAACAUAUGUGUAAUUAACUGUGCACAUCUUGACGGUACCUAAUCAGAAAGCCACGGCUAACUACGUG
rnacentral:rRNA from 1 species